rnacentral:tRNA from 1 species
GAUGGUACAGCUCAGUGGUAGAGUGCGUGCUUAGCAUGUGUGAGGUCCUGGGUUCAAUCCCCAGUCCCUCCA